rnacentral:rRNA from 1 species
CCUACGGGAGGCAGCAGUGGGGGAUAUUGCACAAUGGGCGAAAGCCUGACGCAGCGACGCCGCGUGAGGGAUGAAGGUCUUCGGAUCGUAAACCUCUGUCAGCAGGGAAGAACGGUCACUGUGCUAAUCAGCAGUGAAUUGACGGUACCUGCAAAGGAAGCACCGGCUAACUCCGUGCCAGCAGCCGCGGUAAGACGGAGGGUGCGAGCGUUAAUCGGAAUUACUGGGCGUAAAGCGCUCGUAGGCGGUAUGUCAAGUCAAGGGUGAAAUCCCCGCGCUCAACGUGGGAACUGCCUUUGAAACUGGCAAACUGGAGUGUGUGAGAGGAUAGUGGAAUUCCAGGUGUAGGAGUGAAAGCCGUAGAUAUCUGGAGGAACAUCAGUGGCGAAGGCGACUAUCUGGCACAUAACUGACGCUGAGGAGCGAAAGCGUGGGUAGCAAACAGGAUUAGAUACCCCAGUAGUC